CGGCAACAGCUCAAAUUUGAAAUCUGGCCCUCGGGUCCGAAUUGUAAUUUGUAGAGGAUGCUUUUGGUGCGGUGCCUUCCGAGUUCCCUGGAACGGGACGCCUUAGAGGGUGAGAGCCCCGUACGGUUGGACGCCUAGCCUCUGUAAAGCUCCUUCGAC
rnacentral:rRNA from 1 species